rnacentral:misc_RNA from 1 species
GCCAGCGCAGUGGAUGUAAAUGCGGCAAGCGCAAGGGUGGCAUAAACAAUUUGCUCUGUUGAGGCUUGAUCGUUCAUGAGACUGGGCCAGCCUUCUGUUUUGGUGUUUUCUGUUUAACAAAAAAAGCUGAUAGCACACUUUUACUGCGAGCAUGAGCACGUACCAUCUCACGCCUUGGGUUGUCAAAUGACAAGAAUGCUGUCAAAGGCUUAGAACCCUCCA